AGUGGGGACCAGAGUUGGAGGAUGACAUAAUCCUCACGUGACCAGGAGCUGCCGCGAAGUCCUUAUAUUCCUGGGCUUCUUUCUCCUCUGGGUACCAGCCCCUUACUGUCCUGUAGGCGUUCGUGCUUGUGGCCAAGAGAAGGACUUAAAUUCCUUAAAUCUCAGAAGGUCCAAGGGUCUGUAUUCACAGACAUCUCGAGGCAAGAAAAAGAGGAAACUAUCCCGAAUCCUCACGGGAUUUCACAUAUUUGCAAGGAUUUUUUUUAAACCUAAAAAUCAAGUACAUGUGCUAUCCAAUCAGAAGGAAAUGGACAUAGAUUCCUAUUCACCACAUGCACAAAAAUACAUCCCAGGUGAAUCGAAGAUGAAAAUGUGAAGAACAAGGAGCUCCUGGCUGGCUCAUCUGGUGGAACAUAUGACUCUGAGCUCGGGGUUGUAAGUUCGAGGCCCACGAUGGAUGGUAGAGAUUAUUUAAAAAUAAAAUCUUUAAAAAAAAAAGAGAAAGAAAGUAAAUGUGAAGAACAAGAAUAAAAUAUUACGAUGAAAAUUAACUAAAACAUGUAUAAUCUUGUGAUGUCAUUAUCUUCUUAAGCAUGAAAAAAAAAUCCAGAAGUUAUAAAGGAAAAAAAUAUAUAAAAGGUCCGAAGACAAGAAAUAGCCUGUGAGGAAAUAUUUUC
rnacentral:lncRNA from 1 species